rnacentral:tRNA from 3 species
GCCCACGUGGCUCAGGGGUAGAGCACCUCCUUGGUAAGGAGGGGGUCAUCGGUUCGAAUCCGAUCGUGGGCUCCA